ensembl:lncRNA
GUUGGACCACGUGUGUUUUUUAUUUAUCAGUGUAAACCAGUUGUUUAGGGAGAGCCUAAAUAAAAACAUUAGACUAUUGGACCACGUGUGUUUUUUAUUUAUCAGUGUAAACCAGUUGUUUAUUUUUAUUUAUCAGUGUAAACCAGUUGUUUAGGGAGAGCCUAAAGAAAACAUUAGACUAUUGAACCACACUAGGACACCUCACACAGUGAAAGGGGUAUAGCAAAAACACACCGAACAUGACGGGAGAGGGCUGAUUAUUUACACAACAACAAGAGAGAGGUAUGUGCAAUCCAAACAUGACAAGAGAGGGCUGAUUAUUUACACAACAACAAGAGAGAGGUAUGCAAGAUAUGUGCAGUCCAAAUGACUUUGUAUUUACAAACACUGCAUAUGCCUUAUUUUUUGCUUAAUUUUUUUGGGAAAACAACAAACUAAACAAACAAGAAACAAAAACAAAACAAAACAAAGAAAAAUAGAAUCUAAACCCUUCACAGAGCAGAAAUCGGUAGAGAGCACGCCACUCAAUUUUAAAACGACCCAGAGAUACCGCGCGCACACGCGCGCACACACACACACACACACUGCGGCUUAUCUAGAGGAGUCAGCAUUUUACAUUUUACGUGGAGUUGAAAAUGUUAAUUUUGAAAAUGUUAAUUUGACCAAAAAACUGCCUUGAAUUUAAAAACGAUGAUGCAAUAAUUCUACCCAAAUUAUACAAUUAGAUUUAAAGCAGCAGAUUAGAUUGAGCAGCUUUUAAGGGCAGACAUCUGCCUCAAAAAAAGACAAGAGAUAAUAGAUAGAAUAAAUAGUCUGCUCCCAUCUUUUCACUGUGAAGCAUCUAUUCCCAGGAGGCAUUUUAAAUCAAACACUAAUCAACAAAACAAAAGAUAAAUAAUAUACAUCGAAACGUAAACAUAGAAAAACAAGACAUGUACAAUAAAUAAACAUUAGAAACUUAGUCAGCACCAAUGUGUUGCUUAGAUAGCUUUGGAAAUAUAGUAUGCACACAUUUACAUAAAACACUACACGUUACAGAGUGACGUGAAUAGAGUCACAUUAACUAAGAUUUUAAGAAGAGUGAACAUAUGUUAUUUAAAGCAUUUCAUAAUCUUUAAAAAUCACUUUAGGACCUUAGGUUUAUAAAAGGAAGAACAUAUUUCAUAUGUACACCUAUACUGUCUGCAUUAUAGAGCUUUUUGUUUUUUUGAUACAGCAACACUAAAUACAACAUAAACGCAAUGGUACUGCAUUCUUUGCGUAGUCAUGGCAACACUAAAUAUAACAGAACACAAUGGUACUGCAUUCUUUGAGUAGUCAUGGCAACACUAAAUGUAACAGAACACAAUGGUACAGCAUUCUUUUGAGUACUUAUAAUCAUGGAUAUACUGCUGUUUUCAAAAAGUUUGAUCAAAGCUUAAAGUUAAUACAAAACGUUAAGUUUAAAAAAAACAACAACAAAAACGACACAGAAAAAACCUAAAUAAAAGAGAAUAAAAUAAAUGACACUUAAGAGACGUAAGACACCUUGACAAUACAGCCUUGAAAUGUUUCAGUGCUAUCCAGAUGAGGCUACCAGGACUUUCCUGCAAUGCAGCAUGGGGUUUGGAGUUUUACCAGAGAGAGGAUCACUUCACAUUCAGCUCAGGAAGGCCUGCUUUCACUGCGAGUCUAGACAUUAAUACCCAUAAAACCAUAGAAACUCACUAACACAAGCACAUGCUCACAAGUACACACAGACUAUCCUUAUGAAACGUUAUCAAAAAACAGCACCAUCCUCACUAGGCCACAGCAUCCUCACUAGGCAACAGCAUCCUGUCCUAGCAGCACCAUCCUCACUGGACAACAGCAUCCUGUCCUAGCAGCACCAUUCUCACUGGGUACCAGCAUCCUCACUAGGCAACAGCAUCCUGUCCUAGCAGCACCAUCCUCACUGGGCAACAGCAUCCUGUCCUAGCAGCACCAUCCUCACUGGGCAACAGCAUCCUGUCCUAGCAGCAGCAUCCUGUCCUAGCAGCACCAUCCUCACUAGGCAACAGCAUCCUGUUCUAGCAGCACCAUCCUCAAUGGGUACCAGCAUCCUCACUGGGUACCAGCAUCCUGUCCUAGCAGCACCAUCCUCACUAGGCAACACCAUCCUCACUGGGCAACAGCAUCCUGUCCUAGCAGCACCAUCCUCACUGGGCAACAGCAUCCUCACUAGGCAACAGCAUCCUGUCCUAGCAGCACCGUCCUCACUGGGUACCAGCAUCCUGUCCUAGCAACACCAUCCUCACUGGGCAACAGCAUCCUGUCCUAGCAGCACCAUCCUCACUGGGCAACAGCAUCCUCACUAGGCAACAGCAUCCUGUCCUAGCAGCACCGUCCUCACUGGGUACCAGCAUCCUGUCCUAGCAGCACCAUCCUCACUGGGCAACAGCAUCCUCACUAGGCAACAGCAUCCGGUCCUAGCAGCACCAUCCUCACUGAGCAACAGCAUCCUGUCCUAGCAGCACCAUCCUCACUGGGUACCAGCAUCCUCACUAGGCAACAGCAUCCUGUCCUAGCAGCACCAUCCUCACUGAGCAACAGCAUCCUGUCCUAGCAGCACCAUCCUCAUCAGGACACUGAAAUGGGACUAAUAAGGUGGAUGAAUAAAACACCUAUAAGGAAAGAGCUCAGAACACUCACACACACACACACACACACACACACACACACACACACACACACACACACACACAC